UCCGAGAUGGAUGAGUGCUUGAACGUUUAAAUCUCUAGAGAAGAUUCCAGCUCCGAAGAACAUAAUCGCUGCAACAAUCACCGCAAGUCCAACCCCCAUAACCAAACUCAUCUGCAUUUGCAUUGCCCCACCAAUCCCUUUUAACUUACACUUACAUUUUAAUAUGUUUCUUCUUCUUCUUAAUUUCUUCCCAUUUAGAUUUUAUCUUCUCCCGGGAAUUUCCUCCAACAUCUUAUGUGCAAAUUUAUAUUACUCUAGUAAUUCGAAUUUCUUUACCUGUAGUACCCUUGUGGCUGUAGCCGUUGUCUUCUCGUAAUCUUUCUCUGCAAAAGCACACGCUAGGAUCGCCUGAACCAAAAAUUCAACACCCAUAAAGUAGAAAUUUGGGAGGAAUUGGCGUUACUAGAGACUAAGGUGCUAAUCUCUGUUGUAGAAGAAGAGGAGCAUAUGCGGAUGAAUGUUACCAUUUUUGAGAAACCGACCAAACUGCAAAUCUCUAAGGCUAGGAGGUAAGAGAUCAACUUUUUGCAUCAAUCUCCAAGCAAGGACCAACACGAUUAGGUACCUGAGGUAAUAACAAUAGCAAGUUAUGAAUGAAAAUAAUGGAUUGUAACAGCUCAAAUACGUGACCUAUAAUGUUACUUACUGAGAGAGAACAUGUGCAAUGGCUGCACCCCUUACUCCCAAGUGGCAAACAAAUAUCAAAAUUGGAUCCAAAAUGAUGUUUGUUGUGUACCCCAAAACUACAUAAAGACCAAAAAAGAGAAUGAAGAAAAAGAAUUAGAGAAAGAGGCAAAUUGCUAGCAAUUUUACUGUAAGAAGUCUGAUAAAAAUUAGAGCUACCAAUGACAUAGAGAGGAGUUCUUGUGUCCUUAAACCCUCUGAAGAUUCCCUGCAUGGCUAGAGAGAGGAGAACGGCAGGAGCACCAAGCGAUCUUAACACCAAGUAUUUCAUUGCAGGAGCUAGCAUUGGAGAACUCUAUUGAUUCAUUUUGUCAACACCAGAAAAAAUAAGUACAAUAUGAAAACAUAUUAUGUUGUUUUUCAAUAUUUUCUGAUACUAAAGCAGAAGGGUAUUAGAUUUGUAGUUUUUAUUGAUGAUGGAACUUACUUGCUUCACUCCCAUUACAUUUAAUAGAUAUUUAGCUCCAAAUGCAAGGAAUACAGCUUGCAAGAGGCCCAAAACUGUUCCAAAGAUCAGUGCUGUGGAAGCCGAAGCAAUGUGCUUCUUCUCUUUCUUUUUCGGCUUGACUGUAGGGGUGGAAACAGCCGGAGGCUGACCUUUAUAUGUGCUCAAAUCUGCCAUUGAAAACCCUCAAAAUUUAGUUCAAAUAUGGAACUUAGAUUGAUCACAUGGUUUAUUUUUCUGCAAGCAGAGAGAUUCCUUUUCUUUUCUUUUACUGCCAACUUGAGGCUGAAAAUGUUAGCAAUCUCUCUUGGAAGGUCAAAGGUUCAUGUCACUACCAUUACCCUGUUUUGAACUACAACAGGAAAAUUCUUAUACCUUUUUCAACAUUCUCAAGUGUUGCAUUUUCUAGUAUAGAUUCUUUCGUUCCAUCUUGGUUUGAGAAUUUCUUUUCUAGCUCCUUACACUUUGCUUCCGAUGCAUUCUUUUCCAAGUCUUGAAUGGUGCCAUUUUGGGGUGUUGAGUUUCUUGGUUCAUUACUUGUAACUGAAGCAGAACGAUUAUUUUCCAACAUGUUUUCCUUCUUGAUUGAUCGUCUUCCUCAGCAACAAAUGAUGUUGUUAUGCUCACCAGUGGGAAUAUGGUGAUCCUUGAAGCUUGAUUGAAUAUUGCAACAGACACUCCAACAGCCGCAAGUUCAACCGCUCCUGCCGAAACCAAGUUAAAGUUGUUCUUUGUCAAUGAUAUUACAAACCACUAAAUUGGUUUGACAUUGCAAUGAAAAGAAAGCAAUAAAUGCAUAGUAUAUACCAAUAUGUCCGACGAAAAUGGUGUCGAUAAGAGAAGCAAUGGGAUCAGCGGCAACAGCUAGAGCAGCUGGAAAUGCAAUUCCAAGGAUCUCUUUUCCAAGUUCAUCCCAUUUGAAAACAAGUCUGAAAGAAUAUUUUUUUGAAUCAGUAACAAAUCAUAGAGACUGCAAAGAGCCAUCCAAGAAGUAAAAGGUCGUGGCAAAAGUAGAGACUCGCCGCGGUGAAAACAAAUUUAGCCAAGGAGGGCAAAGGAAGAGAAAAUGGAGCACAAAGUUAUAUACCUUGAAUCCUUGAAGAAAACAUUCAUAGGCAUCUUCCACUUGUUCUUUUUUGUCACUAAACCAACCUCAUUUUCCAUAAUUCAGUUUUUCUUUUCCUGACUAAGUUCUUGAUCUUUUGAUAUAGCAAUCAGCUAGCCACUUCGUCUGUGUCUCUUUAAGUGCACAGAGAAGCAAUAUUUGAAAUCUGCAGACUGAGUGAUUAUGAAGCAAAACUUCAGUUACAACUACAGAAAAACAUGCAAGACAGAAAGCAAAGGAAUUGAUGAAACGCAUGGAAGCUCUCUCUUGCUCACAUGGUGAUGGUGAAUACAACAAUAUAUUGCUGCAGUUUCUUUUUUCCUUUUUUUUUUUUAUCAACUUUAAGGAAUCUACACGCCAUGGUGCCGAAGAAGAAACAUGUCCAUUAAGGUGAAUACUAUGGAAAGGAUUGGAGAGAUAUUGAGAUGAAAAGGCAAUCUGUGGCAUGCUCAUGGAAAGGACAACUGGGUUGAAAAGUAAGAAAAUUCCUCUGUUGCUCACUCAUGUUGGGAAUUCUGACAUGUUGAGAAGUUGUUUCAUCUUCUCCACCCCAGAUUUACUUCUUAAAAUGCAGGAUUCUAAUAAGAACAUAUGGGUAAU